GACGAAGGAUUCAAGCGUUGUCCGGAUUUACUGGGUUUAAAGGGUGCGUAGGCGGAUAUAUAAGUCAGUGGUGAAAUCCCGCAGCUCAACUGCGGAACUGCCAUUGAAACUGCAUUUCUUGAAUACGGUUGAGGUAGAUGGAAUGUAACAUGUAGCGGUGAAAUGCGUAGAUAUGUUACAGAACUCCGAUUGCGAAGGCAGUCUACUAAGCCGUUAUUGACGCUGAGGCACGAAAGCGUGGGGAGCAAACAGG
rnacentral:rRNA from 1 species